AUGUCAUCGGAUCCAUCGUCUGUGGAGCCCUCCGUGGCCAUGGAGGCCACCAAGCCAUCGGCCUCACCGUCGAAGGAAUCGGAGCCGGUCGGCGUUAGGGCUGCAGCCGCCGUCGCCGCCACGCAAGUUGCCGCCCACGAGAAGAACGCGCUGUGGGUCGGCAACCUGCCUGCGCACGCGGGUGAGGACGACGUCGUGGCGUCCUUCGCCCCGCACAAGACACUCGACUGCGUCAUCAUGCGCAUCGAGUACCGCAGCAAUGCCUUCAUCAUUUUCCGCUCCAUCGCCGAGUGUCGGACCGCCCUCAAGGCGCUCCGCGGGUCCAAUAUCAAGAGUGCGUUCAUCCUGAUUGAGUUCGCCCAACCGUGGAGGCACAAUGGAUCAGUGGCGACAGGGUGGUCUGGUGGAGAAUCGCAGGUGGCUGGAGGCAGCAGCGCUCAGAGUCUAGGGAAGCGCGGCACGUGA
rnacentral:rRNA from 1 species